GCGGCCCAGGCAGGGACCCAUUUACCUCGGAAGGUGAACAGGCCUGGAUUUGCGCCAUGGCCUGGGCCCUGUUCCUCGCAUUGCUCACAGGCUACGUGGGUUCCAGUUCCCAGCAGCUGCAGUCGCUGAAGCCGUCAGAGCAGGUGUCUCCCGGAGGGACUGUGACCAUCACGUGCAGCCUGAGCAGUGGAGCAGUUGGUGAUGGCAACUACCCACAGUGGGUGCAACAGAAACCGGGCCAGGCUCCUCAGCUGCUGAUGUACAGCACCAGUACCCGGCCCUCUGGUGUGCCAGCGCGCUUCUCUGGGUCCCGAUCAGGGAGCACCAUGUCCUUGACCAUCACUGGGGCCCAGCCCGAGGAUGACGCUGAUUAUUACUGUUCAGUAUGGACUGGGAGUGCUUGCACAGUGAUACAGUCUUAUGGGGAAGUGCAACAAAAACUCUCUCUGCUCUGA